rnacentral:rRNA from 1 species
GCUUGCUCCACCGAAAGAAAAGGAGUGGCGAACGGGUGAGUAACACGUGGGUAACCUGCCCAUCAGAAGGGGAUAACACUUGGAAACAGGUGCUAAUACCGUAUAACAAUCGAAACCGCAUGGUUUUGAUUUGAAAGGCGCUUUCGGGUGUCGCUGAUGGAUGGACCCGCGGUGCAUUAGCUAGUUGGUGAGGUAACGGCUCACCAAGGCCACGAUGCAUAGCCGACCUGAGAGGGUGAUCGGCCACAUUGGGACUGAGACACGGCCCAAACUCCUACGGGAGGCAGCAGUAGGGAAUCUUCGGCAAUGGACGAAAGUCUGACCGAGCAACGCCGCGUGAGUGAAGAAGGUUUUCGGAUCGUAAAACUCUGUUGUUAGAGAAGAACAAGGAUGAGAGUAACUGUUCAUCCCUUGACGGUAUCUAACCAGAAAGCCACGGCUAACUACGUGCCAGCAGCCGCGGUAAUACGUAGGUGGCAAGCGUUGUCCGGAUUUAUUGGGCGUAAAGCGAGCGCAGGCGGUUUCUUAAGUCUGAUGUGAAAGCCCCCGGCUCAACCGGGGAGGGUCAUUGGAAACUGGGAGACUUGAGUGCAGAAGAGGAGAGUGGAAUUCCAUGUGUAGCGGUGAAAUGCGUAGAUAUAUGGAGGAACACCAGUGGCGAAGGCGACUCUCUGGUCUGUAACUGACGCUGAGGCUCGAAAGCGUGGGGAGCAAACAGGAUUAGAUACCCUGGUAGUCCACGCCGUAAACGAUGAGUGCUAAGUGUUGGAGGGUUUCCGCCCUUCAGUGCUGCAGCUAACGCAUUAAGCACUCCGCCUGGGGAGUACGACCGCAAGGUUGAAACUCAAAGGAAUUGACGGGGGCCCGCACAAGCGGUGGAGCAUGUGGUUUAAUUCGAAGCAACGCGAAGAACCUUACCAGGUCUUGACAUCCUUUGACCACUCUAGAGAUAGAGCUUCCCCUUCGGGGGCAAAGUGACAGGUGGUGCAUGGUUGUCGUCAGCUCGUGUCGUGAGAUGUUGGGUUAAGUCCCGCAACGAGCGCAACCCUUAUUGUUAGUUGCCAUCAUUUAGUUGGGCACUCUAGCAAGACUGCCGGUGACAAACCGGAGGAAGGUGGGGAUGACGUCAAAUCAUCAUGCCCCUUAUGACCUGGGCUACACACGUGCUACAAUGGGAAGUACAACGAGUCGCGAAGUCGCGAGGCUAAGCUAAUCUCUUAAAGCUUCUCUCAGUUCGGAUUGUAGGCUGCAACUCGCCUACAUGAAGCCGGAAUCGCUAGUAAUCGCGGAUCAGCACGCCGCGGUGAAUACGUUCCCGGGCCUUGUACACACCGCCCGUCACACCACGAAAGUUUGUAACACCCGAAGUCGGUGAGGUAACCUUUUUGGAGCCAGCCGCCUAAGGUG